ensembl:lncRNA
CCCACCCAUUAGCAUUCUCUCCCCUACCACACAACAGCUAGCAUGAGAGGAGGGUGAAGACUAUCACUUGCACCACCUUCAUCUAGAUGCCCUUUGACCUGUGAAUUCACAAGCUUCGAUCUUGUGACCCAACAGAAAACAAGACUGUGUACUCUUUGGUCAAUAAAAAAAUAGAGCAGCCGCUAAUUAAUAAGUUCACAUCAAAGCUUUGCCUCGUUGUUUUCUUACUGUUUCUUGGCACAUGUCUAGGGAAAAAAAUGCCUUCUUAAUCACAAACAAAAUAAAACUUAAUCACCAAAAAAUACUGUUUUUUUUCUCUCUGUGCCUGCUAGGAUUUUCUUGUUAGCAAUGUUGGCACCUCUGCUAAUGACUUGCCUUGUAAGGAAAAGGGGCAAAGUUGAGCAGCUCUGUUCCAGCUGAGGUCACAGCUAAUAUUCGGGCCAGUAACAGAAAGCUGAACUGAAGGAAGCUAGUCAGAUCCAUUGCAUGUGAGUAAGCACCUUUGCUCAGCUGAAAAUGACUCACUCAGAUCUUGUGACCUGGCCUGAAGUAGCGAGAGCCCUCUGCCUCACAUUCUUCAGGAAAUGAAUGAUGCUGCAAUCAAAACUCGGCUGGAAGUAAAGCAGGGUGGGGGUGAGGGGGCUUUGACAGAUAGAGAAAAGAAAUUUAGCUGUGGCAGAUUCACAUCCCAGGCAGACAGCGGGCAGUUGUAGAUGGUCCCCCAUACACGAGGGAGCAUCCAGAUGCCAGGUCCUGCCACAGGGGCCACAAGGAAGUGGAGUGUGUCCACACAUUCACGUCACCGCUCACCUCAGUCAUCUGGGUGCUAAUGGAUACCGACUCAACAGACUUCCUCGAGGGGUUUCAAAAAAAGGAGAAACAGAACACACAGUGAACACCGAACUCCAUUUCCCACAAGGUCUGGCGGUUCAACUGGAAAACAACAACGAGCUUGACAACACCACAAAUCAUGGCUGACAGCGAGUUACCCAGGUCAAGCUGUGCAGCUCAGUGUCGCAAAUCAUGUCUCCAAACCCCUGCUGUGUUAACCACCACUACGUACAUCAAAUAUCCAGAGUCAACCCAUCCCUGCCCUCUUGACCUUGAUCUCUGCUUCAUGCUUUGGAUUUGUUUGUUUGCUGACAGUUCUAUUUAAAUAAAAGCAUUCUUACAUCAAAAGUCCAGCGUCAACCCAUCCCUGCCCUUUUGACCUUGAUCUCUGCUUCACGCUUUUGAUUUGUUUGUAUGUUGGCAGUCUUUUUUUAAAUAAAAGCAUUCUCUGCAAAUGUUGCCAUCCCUGCCGCCUGACAGUAUACUUUGCCAUCAACAUGGAGG